AGUGGCGCACGGGUGCGUAACGCGUAUGCAACCUACCUCUUACAGGGGGAUAGCCCGGGGAAACCCGGAUUAAUACCGCAUAAGAUCAUAGAGCAGCAUUGCUACAGUGAUUAAAGAUUUAUCGGUAAGAGAUGGGCAUGCGUGCCAUUAGCUAGUUGGUAGUGUAACGGACUACCAAGGCGACGAUGGCUAGGGGUUCUGAGAGGAAGAUCCCCCACACUGGUACUGAGAUACGGACCAGACUCCUACGGGAGGCAGCAGUAGGGAAUAUUGGGCAAUGGCCGCAAGGCUGACCCAGCCAUGCCGCGUGCAGGAAGAAGGCCCUCUGGGUUGUAAACUGCUUUUGACAGGGAAGAAAAGGC
rnacentral:rRNA from 1 species